rnacentral:rRNA from 1 species
UACGUAGGGUGCAAGCGUUGUCCGGAAUUAUUGGGCGUAAAGGGCUCGUAGGCGGUUCGUCACGUCGGGAGUGAAAACUCGGAGCUUAACUCCGAGCCUGCUUCCGAUACGGGCAGACUAGAGGUAGGCAGGGGAGAGCGGAACUCCUGGUGUAGCGGUGGAAUGCGCAGAUAUCAGGAAGAACACCGGUGGCGAAGGCGGCUCUCUGGGCCUUACCUGACGCUGAGGAGCGAAAGCGUGGGUAGCGAACAGG